rnacentral:pre_miRNA from 1 species
UUUUUCCACAGCUUUCUUGAACUUUUUUUGUUUUCAUUUCCUUUUAACCAAUAUAGCUAAACAAAAUCUCUAGUUAGCAUUUUGGAAACAAAGAAAAAGCUCAAGAAAGCUGUGGGAAAA